GAACAAGCUACAUAGAGUACGAGGUGAAUGCCUAGGCGCUCUUGGCCGAAGAAGGACGCGGAGACCGGCGAAACGUUCAGGGGGAGCUGCAUACAAGCGAUGAGCCCUGAGAAUCCGAAUGGGGCAACCCCUCCAGAGUGAUGUCUGGAGACCUGCUGGUGAACACAUAGCCUGCAGGGGGGCAGCGGGUGAACUGAAACAUCUCAGUAGCCCGACGAGAAGAAAUCAAUUGAGAUUCCCGGAGUAGUGGCGAGCGAAACGGGAGGAGCCCAAACCAUCUGAUCGUUUGAUCGGGUGGGGUUGUAGGACCCACAACACGAAUGGAUCGACGACCUGAAUGUGCUGGAAAGCACAACCAGAGCGGGUGAUAGUCCUGUAAGGCAUGAUGAUGCAUUCCGGUGGGUAUCCUGAGUACCACGAGACACGAGAAACCUUGUGGGAAGCUGGGGGGACCACCCUCCAAGGCUCAAUACCAAGAGCGACCGAUAGUGAACCAGUACCGUGAGGGAAAGGUGAAAAGCACCCCGAGAGGGGGAUGAAAGAGAUCCUGAAACCACGUACUCACCAGCAGUCAGAGGCCACUCCUGCACGAGCAGGUCAGGGCUGAUGGCGUGCCUUUUGUAGAAUGAUCCGGCGAGUGCAUCGACGUUGCGGGUUAAGGAGCGGCAAAGCUCUGGAGCCUGAGGGAAACCGAGUCUGAAGAGGGCGAGCGUUGGUUUGCAAGAACCACACGUAGCGGCGAUGCGACCCGAAACCAUGUGAGCUAUCCAUGACCAGAGUGAAGCGGAUGUGAAAGUCCGUCGAGGCUCGAACCCACCAGUGUUGCAAAACUGGGGGAUGAGUUGUGGAUAGAGGAGAAAUUCCAACCGAACAUGGAGAUAGCUGGUUCUCCCCGAAAUGCAUUGAGGUGCAGCCACGGGUAUUGUGUUCUGGAGGUAGAGCUCUGCAUGAGCUAGGGGCCAAGUGCUGGUUACCAAACUCAAGCAAACUGCGAAUGCCAGAAUCAUAGACCCGUGAGUGAGACGAUGGGGGCUAAGCUUCAUCGUCGAAAGGGAAACAACCCAGAUCAUCAGCUAAGGUCUCAAAAUCGAUGCUCAGUGUCAAAGGGAGUUCAUCCGCCACAACAGCCAGGAUGUUGGCUUAGAAGCAGCCAUCAUUGAAAGAGUGCGUAAGAGCUCACUGGUCGAGUGGAUGGGCACCGACAACGUAACGAGGCUCAAGCAUCGUACCGAAGCUAUGAAUCCCUGGUGUGAAACCAGGGAUGGUAGGGGAGCGUUCUUGUCGCAGAGAAGCCAGAUCGUGAGGACUGGUGGAGUGACAAGAAGUGAGAAUGCCGGAAUGAGUAGCGUAAUGCGUGUAUGAACCACGCACACCGCAAGCCUGAGGGUUCCUGGGCAACGUCAGACGACCCAGGGUCAGUCGGGUCCUAAGCCGAGGACGUCACAGUCGUAGGCGAUGGAAAGCAGGUAGAAAGUCCUGCACCGGAGCAGAUCACAAUGAGUGAUGAGGGGACGCGGUAAGGAAGGUGAGCCCAUCGAAUGGACAGGAUGGGUGUGCCGCACGAAGUGCGUGACCGAGGCAAAUCCCGGUCGCAUGAGCAUGACGACGGUACCGAGCGGGCGUAAGCUCGCGGAAGUCAUCGACCCCUAUGCUGCCAAGAAAAGCCUCUAACCAGAUCUCGCUCUGCCCGUACCGCAAACCGACACCGGUAGGCUGGGGGAACUCCCCCAAGGUGAACGAGCGAACCUCUGUCAAGGAACUCGGCAAAUUGACCCCGUACCUUCGGAAGAAGGGGUGCCCUAGUAACGUGACCGAUAUGGAAGCGUGAGGGGGCCGCAGUAAAUCGGCUCAAGCGACUGUUUACCAAAAACACAGGUCUCUGCGAACACGCAAGUGGAAGUAUAGGGGCUGACUCCUGCCCAGUGCCGGAAGGUNNNNNNNNNNNNNNNNNNNNNNNNNNNNNNNNNNNNNNNGUAAGUUCCGACCCGCACGAAAGGAGUAACGACUUGAUCGCUGUCUCGACAGGGGGCUCGGCGAAAUUGAAGUACCCGUGAAGAUACGGGUUCCCCACGACAGGACAAAAAGACCCCGUGGAGCUUUACUACACCCUGGCCUUGAGAUGAGGCAGACGUUACGUAGCAUAGGUGGGAGCCUGGGAAGUCACCCUUGUGGGGGUGAUGGAGGCAAGCAUGAAAUACCACUUUUCGUAUGGUUUGUCUCUCAUGGCUGACCAUGAACUGGCAGACAGACAGGACCAGGCGGGUAGUUUGACUGGGGCGGUCGCCUCCCAAAGAGUAACGGAGGCGCUCAAAGGUUCUCUCAGGGUGGAUGGACAUCACCCUUACAGAGUGUAAAGGCACAAGAGAGCUUGACUGCGAGGCAAACAGGCCGAGCAGGGACGAAAGUCGGACUUAGUGAUCCCACAUUCCCGAGUGGAAGGAGUGUGGCUCAACGGAUAAAAGCUACCCCGGGGAUAACAGGCUUAUCUUGCCCAAGAGUUCACAUCGACGGCAAGGUUUGGCACCUCGAUGUCGGCUCGUCGCAUCCUGGGGCUGGAGUUGGUCCCAAGGACGCGAGCUGGGUUCAGAACGUCGCGAGACAGUUCGGUCUCUAUCCGUCGUGGGCGUAGGAAGAUUGAGGAGCGUCAUCUCCAGUACGAGAGGACCGAGAUGGCUCGACCGCUGGUGCGCCAGUUGGGGUGCCCACCCCACAGCUGGAUAGCUAUGUCGAGAAGGGAUAAGCGCUGACAGCAUCUAAGCGCGAAGCCGCUCCCAAGAUGAGUCUUCCCACUUCGUUUGAGGAUAAGAUCCCAGGGAGAUUACCUGGUCGAUAGACCGUACGCAUACGCCUGGUAACAGGUUGAACGAAACGGCCCUAAUGAUCGAACGGCUUG
rnacentral:rRNA from 1 species